rnacentral:other from 1 species
GUCACCCUGCGAUGCCCGUGAGAUGACUUGAUGGGUUUGAGCUAACACAAGUUUUUUGGAGGCAGACGCCUGGUGGAUGUGAACGCUCGCAGCGCUCCUGAAGCAAGGAACCUUAUGCCUCCACCUGCUAACGCGGGUUCAAAAGCAUCAUCAGGACACGACCUUGCGGGGUGACC